GCCACAUGAUGAGUUGAGUAGCGUCAGCAGCCUUCGGGCCGUGGUGACCUGCUAUCUAUCACCCUUUUCUGAUGGCU